AGAGUUUGAUCAUGGCUCAGAACGAACGCUGGCGGCAGGCUUAAUACAUGCAAGUCGAGGGGCAGCACGAAUAGCAAUAUUUGGUGGCGACCGGCGCACGGGUGCGUAACACGUAUACAACCUACCUAUAACAGGGGGAUAGCCUUUCGAAAGAGAGAUUAAUACCCCGUAAUAAAUUGAGUGGCAUCACUUGAUUUUGAAAGCUACGGCGGUUAUAGAUGGGUAUGCGUCCUAUUAGCUAGUUGGUGAGGUAACGGCUCACCAAGGCGACGAUAGGUAGGGGAUCUGAGAGGACUAACCCCCACACUGGUACUGAGACACGGACCAGACUCCUACGGGAGGCAGCAGUAAGGAAUAUUGGUCAAUGGAGGCAACUCUGAACCAGCCAUGCCGCGUGCAGGAUGACGGCCCUAUGGGUUGUAAACUGCUUUUGUACCAGAGAAAACCUACUCACGUGUGAGUAGCUGAUAGUAUGGUAAGAAUAAGCAUCGGCUAACUUCGUG
rnacentral:rRNA from 1 species